UUGAAGUUUAUUCGUUCCGACUGCGGGAGCGUGCUAGCAAGUGAUUGUCCAGUCUUCACGUUCGUCACGUUUCGACUGCGGGGGCGUGUUAGAGAAUAUUAUAUUAUAGAACUCUCCUAAUAUUAGGAUUCUAGUAUGAUUGAGUUACCUAGAUUAGUUAGGAUUUAGUUACCUAGUCAAACUCUAUUACCUUGCAAUAUUUCUCUAUAUAUAUUCCAUGUAAUCAACCCAUAACAUAAUGGGGGUUUCUAUUCUAU
rnacentral:lncRNA from 1 species